GGUACUGAGGCACACACAGCCAUGA
rnacentral:snRNA from 1 species